UGGGGAAUAUUGGACAAUGGGGGCAACCCUGAUCCAGCAAUGCCGCGUGUGUGAAGAAGGCCUUCGGGUUGUAAAGCACUUUAGUUGGGGAAGAAGAUAUGUUGUUUAAGAGAUGAGAUAUUUGACGGUACCCAAAGAAUAAGCACCGGCUAACUCUGUGCCAGCAGCCGCGGUAAUACAGAGGGUGCAAGCGUUAAUCGGAGUUACUGGGCGUAAAGGGCGCGUAGGCGGUUAAUUAAGUUGGAUGUGAAAUCCCUGGGCUUAACCUAGGAAUGGCAUUCAAAACUGGUUGACUGGAGUACUGUAGAGGGUAGUGGAAUUUCCGGUGUAGCGGUGAAAUGCGUAGAGAUCGGAAGGAACACCAGUGGCGAAGGCGGCUACCUGGACAGAUACUGACGCUGAGGCGCGAAAGCGUGGGGAGCAAACAGG
rnacentral:rRNA from 1 species